rnacentral:rRNA from 1 species
AACGAACGCUGGCGGCGCGCCUAAUACAUGCAAGUCGAGCGAGAAGACGUAGCAAUACGUUUGUAAAGCGGCGAACGGGUGAGGAAUACAUGGGUAACCUACCCUCGAGUGGGGAAUAACUAGCCGAAAGGUUAGCUAAUACCGCGUACGCUCCUUGGACUUCGGUUCAGGGAGGAAAGCGAUACCGUGGGUAUCGCGCUCUUGGAUGGGCUCAUGUCCUAUCAGCUUGUUGGUGAGGAACGGCUCACCAAGGCUUCGACGGGUAGCUGGUCUGAGAGGACGAUCAGCCACACUGGCACUGCGACACGGGCCAGACUCCUACGGGAGGCAGCAGUAAGGAAUAUUGCGCAAUGGGCGAAAGCCUGACGCAGCGACGCCGCGUGGGGGAGUGAAGGUCUUCGGAUUGUAAACUCCUGUCAUUUGAGAACAAGGUGCACCGGUUAACUGCCGGUGCAUUGAUAGUAUCAGAAGAGGAAGGGAC